UACAGAGGUCCCAAGCGUUGUUCGGAUUCACUGGGCGCAAAGGGUGCGUAGGCGGUCGGGUAAGUCUGAUGUGAAAUCUCCGAGCUUAACUCGGAAAUGGCAUUGGAUACUAUUCGGCUAGAGGGUUUGAGGGGGGACUGGAAUACUUGGUGUAGCAGUGAAAUGCGUAGAUAUCAAGUGGAACACCAGUGGCGAAGGCGAGUCCCUGGAAAACUCCUGACACUGAGGCACGAAAGCUAGGGGAGCAAACAGG
rnacentral:rRNA from 1 species